AUCCAGCUGACGAGUCCCAAAUAGGACGAAAUUCGCGUCCUGGGU
rnacentral:hammerhead_ribozyme from 1 species